rnacentral:rRNA from 1 species
GACGAACGCUGGCGGCGUGCCUAAUACAUGCAAGUCGAGCGAAGUUUUUCUGGUGCUUGCACCGGAAAAACUUAGCGGCGAACGGGUGAGUAACACGUAAAGAACCUGCCUCAUAGACUGGGACAACUAUUGGAAACGAUAGCUAAUACCGGAUAACAGCAUUAACUGCAUGGUUGAUGUUUGAAAGUUGGUUUUGCUAACACUAUGAGAUGGCUUUGCGGUGCAUUAGCUAGUUGGUGGGGUAAAGGCCUACCAAGGCGACGAUGCAUAGCCGACCUGAGAGGGUGAUCGGCCACACUGGGACUGAGACACGGCCCAGACUCCUACGGGAGGCAGCAGUAGGGAAUCUUCCGCAAUGGGCGAAAGCCUGACGGAGCAACGCCGCGUGAGUGAAGAAGGAUUUCGGUUCGUAAAGCUCUGUUGUUAGGGAAGAAUGAUUAUGUAGUAACUAGACAUAGUAGAGACGGUACCUAACCAGAAAGCCACGGCUAACUACGUG